CAUGAUCGAGGUCGGAAAGACAAACUCUGCCCUGCAGAUUUUGUCAUUGCUACUUGUCUUCCUAAUUCACUGCCAAGGAUCAACCCAUUAUAAUUGGGUAAAGGUGAAAGAAGCUACAUACACAAGGCUUUGCAUCACCAAGAAAAUCUCGACAGUAAAUGGAAAAUUUCCUGGACCAGUUUUACAGGCUCCUAAAGGUGAUACGAUCUACGUCAAUGUCCAUAACAAAGGCAGCCACAACAUCACCAUUCACUGGCAUGGAGUGAAGCAACCCAGGAAUCCAUGGUCAGAUGGUCCUGAAUACAUCACGCAAUGUCCAAUUCAACCUGGGGACCAAUUCAAGCAAACGAUUAUAUUUUCUAAUGAGGAAGGAACGAUCUGGUGGCAAGCAAACAAUGACUGGGCUCGAGCCACAGUACUAGUUCAUGGCGCAAUCUUUGUGUAUCCAACACGUGGAGCUAGCUAUCCUUUUCCCAAGCCUCAUGAACAAGUGCAAAUAAUAUUAGGUCAGUGGUGGAGGAGAGAUGUAAGGGAGGUAUUGGAGGAAUUCAUUAGAACUGGAGGAGCUCCGAAUGUUUCUGAUGCUCACACUAUCAAUGGUCAGCCGGGAGACCUCUAUCCUUGCUCAAAAUCUGAGACAUUCAAGCUCCUUGUGGAUCAAAACAAGACCUAUCUACUCUGUAUAGUAAACGCCACAAUGAACACCAUUUUCUUCUACUCAAUUGCAAACCAUAACCUCACAGUGGUGGGAGUAGACGGAAGCUACACAAAGCCGGUGACAACAGAUUACAUGACAAUUUCACCCGGACAAACCCUAGAUGCCUUGUUAAUCACCAACCAGCAAGUUGGUCAAUAUUACAUGGCUGCUAGGGCUUACUCAAGCACUCUUCUUAUUCCCUUUGACAACACCACAACCACAACAAUAGUAGAAUAUAAAAAUAUUGGGAAUAAUUUUACUCCAUUUUCUUCAACACCUCCAUUGCUCUACCUUCCUUAUUAUAAUGACACAAAUGCAGCUGUCACUUUCUUUGAUAGCCUUAAAAGCCUAGCUAAUGAACACCACCCAAUUGGUGUCCCAAUAAAGAUUACCAAUAGAUUAGUCUCCGCAGUUUCAAUCGACACAUUCCCAUGCCCAAAAAAUUCAUGUGCAGGACCAAACGGGACCCGCCUAGCUGCUAGCAUGAACAAUAUAAGCUUCGUAAGCCCUACAACCAUAGACAUUCUAGACGCCUAUUAUUACCAUAUCCAUGGGAUUUAUAAAAAUGGUUUCCCAGAUUUUCCACCUCUGGUAUUUAAUUUUACAGGGGAAAAUCUACCCCUCCUUUUACAAGUUCCAAAGAGGGACAAAGGUGAGGGUUUUCAAAUAUGGGUCAAUUGUGGAAAUUGUUUUUCAAGGGACAAACUGGGUGCACCAAUAGAUCAUCCAAUACAUUUGCAUGGGUUUAGCUUCUACAUUGUUGGAUGGGGGUUUGGGAAUUUUGACAAAGAUAAGGACCCAUUAAACUAUAAUCUCAUUGAUCCUCCUCUUAGGAACACUGUCGCUGUGCCCAUAAGUGGCUGGGCCGCCAUCAGAUUCCAUGCCGACAAUCCGGGAGUAUGGUUUUUGCACUGCCAUUUGGAGCGUCACCUAACUUGGGGAAUGAACACAGUUUUCAUUGUAAAGAACGGAAAAAACAAGAAGGAAAGGUUGCUGCCUCCGCCACCAAGAAUGCCACCCUGUUAAUUAAGACUUUGUCCAAAAUUAGUUACGAAACAAAUUGUUUAAUGAUUCUGAAU